rnacentral:rRNA from 1 species
AUUGAACGCUGGCGGCAGGCCUAACACAUGCAAGUCGAACGAGUGGCGGACGGGUGAGUAAUGUCUGGGAAACUGCCUGAUGGAGGGGGAUAACUACUGGAAACGGUAGCUAAUACCGCAUACCAUCGGAUGUGCCCAGAUGGGAUUAGCUAGUAGGUGGGGUAAUGGCUCACCUGGGCGACGAUCCCUAGCUGGUGUGAGCGGAUGACCAGCCACACUGGAACUGAGACACGGUCCAGACUCCUACGGGAGGCAGCAGUGGGGAAUAUUGCACAAUGGGCGAAAGCCUGAUGCAGCCAUGCCGCGUGUAUGAAGAAGGCCUUCGGGUUGUAAAGUACUUUCAGCGGGGAGGCGUUACCCGCAGAAGAAGCACCGGCUAAAUCCGUGCCAGCAGCCGCGGUAAUAC